rnacentral:lncRNA from 1 species
UGAGUUGCUGCGAGUGCCGAGGAGGAGGAGGAGACACCCAAAACUUCUGCUGCUUCUGAACCACCUGAGUAGAGGAAGAGCUGGAAUCUCUGAAGCGCUUCUUAGAAUUCUCCACCCUAAGCAAGGCUGCCUCUGCCCUGAGAGCUAAGUUGUAGAACUUGUCGAACUCCUCAGGAUCGUGCAAAGCAAGAGCUAACUGCAAAUCUUCUUUCAAGCCACCUCUGAACUAAUAAAUCUUGCUCUUCUGAUCAGGGAUAUCCUGCAAUGCGUAUCGGGCUAGCUCGUGGAACUCAACGUUGUACUUGUACACGGA